AGUGAACGCUGGCGGUAGGCCUAACACAUGCAAGUCGAACGGCAGCACAGUAAGAGCUUGCUCUUACGGGUGGCGAGUGGCGGACGGGUGAGGAAUACAUCGGAAUCUACUUUUUCGUGGGGGAUAACGUAGGGAAACUUACGCUAAUACCGCAUACGACCUACGGGUGAAAGCAGGGGAUCUUCGGACCUUGCGCGAUUGAAUGAGCCGAUGUCGGAUUAGCUAGCUGGCGGGGUAAAGGCCGACCAAGGCGACGAUCCGUAGCUGGUCUGAGAGGAUGAUCAGCCACACUGGAACUGAGACACGGUCCAGACUCCUACGGGAGGCAGCAGUGGGGAAUAUUGGACAAUGGGCGCAAGCCUGAUCCAGCCAUACCGCGUGGGUGAAGAAGGCCUUCGGGUUGUAAAGCCCUUUUGUUGGGAAAGAAAAGCAGCAGGUUAAUACCCCGCUGUUCUGACGGUACCCAAAGAAUAAGCACCGGCUAGCUUCGUG
rnacentral:rRNA from 1 species